rnacentral:lncRNA from 1 species
UGAAUGAGUUCUUAAUCGGCUGCUGCUCUUCAGGAAAAGGAAAGUGUUGCAAACUGGUGAAGCUGAUCGAUAAAAGCAAUGUACCAUCUUUGCUGCCAUGGAUCGAUGCCAGUGAGUUUUUUAAUUUGUCAACCUUUUUAAUAAUGCAUAUGUGUUUCUUCAACUUGAAGCGGCAUUUAAGACGAAAGAAGUGAUCUUUAAAGCAUUCUAUAGCAUUAUCCUUUCCUAUUAUAUAUAUCCAAUUGCUCCAAAUUAUUUGUAAAUUACUGAACACGAAUGCUGAUGAAUAAACUGAUGGCUCUAUGUAUGUAUGCACAUGCAUGGAGAAAUUUUAAGUCAGACAUUCCCAUAUAUAACUCGUGCUACCAAAUCAUUAAAUAAUCUUGAAAUCAAAGUAAUAAUUAAAUACAAAUAAAUUGCUCGAAUUGUACAUAUAUCUGAAUCAUGUAGUGAAGAAAAUACAACAACAACAACCAAUGGCUCAAAUUCCCCAUCAACUUCUAAUCUCAACACUUUUGAGUGUCAGAAGCAUUACUCUGCUACCAGUUAACAAACAUAUAAUUAGUAAUUUGCCAUUCACUUCCCUUUUAGGCCUAACACAUUUUCUAUAAAGGAGCCACAGAGUGAACUCAGCAGGAAACACUCAAUUUCAACCUACGUAGGACCAGGAAUUUCAACCAAAAAAAAAGUGUGCAAUUGCUUAUCCUAUCCUAUUGCUACUAGAAAGAAAGUGAACAAUUAAUUUCAGUGAAUAAAUUAAAAAAAAUUACUUCUGCAGAUACUCAAGCUAAGAACACAUUAACCCAUUAAAGACUCCAAAUUGCAUCAAACAAAUUGUUGUUAAACAAGUAAAACAAAGAAAGAGAGUUAAGGAAGCUGACCUAGUAGUAGGGGAGCUGAAGAAAGACUGCCAGUGAAUGUAAGAGAAAAUAAAAUGCAAUAAAUGGUGAAGUGCAGCUUUUCAUGUCAACUUGAAAUUGUUUCUUCUGUUUUUUUUUUUUUUAAUCUUUUGGAUUUUUAAAACAAAGAAAAUGAGGAGCAACCAGGGAGAUAAAAAGGGCGCCAAGGCAACUGUGUGUUGGGUUUAG